GAACGGGUGAGUAACACGUGGGCAAUCUGCCCUUCACUCUGGGACAAGCCCUGGAAACGGGGUCUAAUACCGGAUACCACUCUCGCAGGCAUCUGUGAGGGUUGAAAGCUCCGGCGGUGAAGGAUGAGCCCGCGGCCUAUCAGCUUGUUGGUGAGGUAACGGCUCACCAAGGCGACGACGGGUAGCCGGCCUGAGAGGGCGACCGGCCACACUGGGACUGAGACACGGCCCAGACUCCUACGGGAGGCAGCAGUGGGGAAUAUUGCACAAUGGGCGAAAGCCUGAUGCAGCGACGCCGCGUGAGGGAUGACGGCCUUCGGGUUGUAAACCUCUUUCAGCAGGGAAGAAGCGAAAGUGACGGUACCUGCAGAAGAAGCGCCGGCUAACUACGUGCCAGCAGCCGCGGUAAUACGUAGGGCGCAAGCGUUGUCCGGAAUUAUUGGGCGUAAAGAGCUCGUAGGCGGCUUGUCACGUCGGGUGUGAAAGCCCGGGGCUUAACCCCGGGUCUGCAUUCGAUACGGGCUAGCUAGAGUGUGGUAGGGGAGAUCGGAAUUCCUGGUGUAGCGGUGAAAUGCGCAGAUAUCAGGAGGAACACCGGUGGCGAAGGCGGAUCUCUGGGCCAUUACUGACGCUGAGGAGCGAAA
rnacentral:rRNA from 1 species